rnacentral:misc_RNA from 1 species
GUACAGUCCAAUAAUGAUAAGGUUUGUAUCUUUCCCAUCUUCUGUUGACUGUUUCUUUCUUUUGUACUGAUUCUGACCAAAAUUCAUGUCUGCUGGUCAUUGACGGUAAUCUUGUUUCGAAUAAGUUUUCAGAAGAAAAGGGUUGACUUAGUAGAAAAGAAGAAUAAAGCAAAAAUAUUCUUUAGUCAAGAAAAAUGGUUUCCCAUAUUCCUUUUUGUGUUAUUUAUAGGUAUACAAAAAUACAAUCACAUUAAAAUGCCAAAAAUAUAGGUAAGCAAACUAGAAAUUUGCAAAAGUUUUAUAUAAAAAGACUGGCAGUUGUUAGGUGCCAAAGCACAAAAGUUACAUUAUUCACAAACCUAGCAAAAUAUGGAAAGACAUCCUUGUGUAGUGGAAUAUUUUACCAGAUUUAAGUGCUCUUGAAUAGUUAUUGUUGUAAAAAGUACACUUUGACCUGUUUAAUGAUAUUAUCUCUGGAUGCUGAAAAGCUGAGUGCAGAGGUCUGAAUCAUCUGGAAUUUUCUGAGAUUUGAUUUAUCCUUUUUUUUUUGUGAUAUAGAAAUGGUAUUUAAUAAAAACAUGUCUGCAGUACUGUACUAAGAUGUGAAUAUCUCACAAAAUGGGAGAUUAAUUUUAGAUGAUGAGUUUUAUGAUUCAAAUGUUAAAAGCGUGUCGUGGGCUGCAAGAGGCAGAUAUUUUGUAAGGAGUUACCAGUUCAAGAUGUCCCUGUUUGGACUGAUAUGGAUAAUAGUUCUUCAUAUUGAUUAUUAUUCUGUGAAGUCAUUGUAGCUGUAAAGCGAAGUCUUAAUCAUUGGAAAGCCAAUUUCUUGGUGCACAAAACAUAAACAUAACAGGAAAUAUUACGUCUUCCUCCCUAGUUGCUUCAUUCAUACUGACUUGAUUAAUAAAUAGUCAAUAAUUGCAUAUAGUGUUAAACCUGUUCAUGUAUUCGUUUUACUUGUAGGUGUCAUUGCUCUUAAAGGAG